rnacentral:lncRNA from 1 species
CGCACGCACGCACGCACGCACGCACGCACGCACGCACGCACGCACGCACGCACGCACGCACGCACGCACGCACGCACGCACGCACGCACGCACGCACGCACGCACGCACGCACGCACGCACGCACGCACGCACGCACGCACGCACGCACGCACGCACGCACGCACGCACGCACGCACGCACGCACGCACGCACGCACGCACGCACGCACGCACGCACGCACGCACGCACGCACGCACGCACGCACGCACGCACGCACGCACGCACGCACGCACGCACGCACGCACGCACGCACGCACGCACGCACGCACGCACGCACGCACGCACGCACGCACGCACGCACGCACGCACGCACGC